rnacentral:rRNA from 1 species
AAGGGGGGGGAACCCCGAAUUUGUUCGGGGAGCCGUAAGUACGAACAACGGUGACGUCCGUUACGACGUUAGCGGCCCACGGGAGAGUAACACGUAGGUAACCUACCUAUAAGACUGGGAUAACUUCGGGAAACCGGAGCUAAUACCGGAUAAUAUUUCGAACCGCAUGGUUCGAUAGUGAAAGAUGGCUUUGCUAUCACUUAUAGAUGGACCUGCGCCGUAUUAGCUAGUUGGUAAGGUAACGGCUUACCAAGGCAACGAUACGUAGCCGACCUGAGAGGGUGAUCGGCCACACUGGAACUGAGACACGGUCCAGACUCCUACGGGAGGCAGCAGUAGGGAAUCUUCCGCAAUGGGCGAAAGCCUGACGGAGCAACGCCGCGUGAGUGAUGAAGGUCUUCGGAUCGUAAAACUCUGUUAUUAGGGAAGAACAAACGUGUAAGUAACUGUGCACGUCUUGACGGUACCUAAUCAGAAAGCCACGGCUAACUACGUGCCAGCAGCCGCGGUAAUACGUAGGUGGCAAGCGUUAUCCGGAAUUAUUGGGCGUAAAGCGCGCGUAGGCGGUUUUUUAAGUCUGAUGUGAAAGCCCACGGCUCAACCGUGGAGGGUCAUUGAAACUGGAAAACUUGAGUGCAUAAAAGGAAAGUGGAAUCCAUGUGUAGCCGGUGAAAUGCCGCAGAAGAUAUUGGAGGAACCACCAGUG